GUAGUACUCAAAUGGGAUUAGUGUCAGAGUUGAUGAUGAAAAUAUUAUGUACCGUUGUAUCAUAUCUAAAUACAUGGAACAAUAUUGUUGCAAUUACUUUUGUUUCCUAACAAUGGAAUAGCUGCAGGCAACGAAGUAAGAAUCAUUCGAGCCUUUCGAAUGGACUUGUGACACAAGUGGCGCUUGUCGCACUCAUUUUGGCACAAAAGAUACCACCUUUUUUUUUUUUCUCAAACAUGGUGGUACCUGUUCCCUUACACCAUUGCCGUAUAGCUCAUGCAAAAUCUACCGCUUCAUCCACUUCUAUUUGCUUACUAAACAUUACGGACUAAUAUCUGCUUUAAACAUUGCAAGUCUUCAUAAUUUCUUUGCUAAUUAUUCAUUUUAUUUGGAUCUGUCAAGGCUUGAACGAGAUAUGAGGGACUUAUAUAAGUAUGGAUGUGUGAAUAAUUUCUCUUCAAAAAACUAUCACCGGUCUACCUUUAUUAUGAAGUUAGAGACUUUAGCAUUUUGCACCUAUGAUUAACUUUUCCGUCUCAUUUGUCACGCCAACGAAAGUCGCCAGGCCUGAUGGAGCUGGAGCUUGGUAGUUAAAUCAGGCAUCUAGAAAUAAAUUUUUCUUGACAUAAUUCGCAAGCAGUCGGAUACGGCUUGCCGACUUUACCCCAAUUUGCAUGUAAACAUUCAACACGACGAGGACCGAUAAGAUUUUCCCAGCGAACGGCGGCGCACGGCAAAUACGGCCGAGUUUGUCUAAAGAUUAUGUCUCAAGGUCUUGUAAGAAUACGAAGAUUCAAUCAGGGAUCUCGAAGUAAGUUUCCCAAGGUUGCAACGUGGUGACUUCAUCAUCUCUGUUCCACAGGAGCCCGGAGGACGGUGGGCCUCCGUCUCGACCAUCCGAAUCCAUGGCCAACCACCAUGAGCUCCCUCGAAUCGAAGCAGUUUCCGAGGGCACAAUCCGCUCCUCUCCUUCUUUCCAACCCCCAUAUCUUUCCCAAGGAGCAGCAACAAAGAGAGGGUUCAAGGAAGAAGAUCAAGUAUGGGCCUCCUCCUCCUGUUCCUCUUUUCUCGUGGAGCCAUUCCCUCUCGUUCCCUCCCUCUUUUCUUCGGUCAGGAGAGAAAGAAAGAAAAUUCUGGCGCUGCUAGAGACGGUGGAGGGUUUUCCGUGCUCCCUACUGGAGAAAAUGGCGCCAGGUCGGAAUCCAGCGGUGGCGUUGGGGAUAUUUUCGCGGGGCACUGGUUAGGUAAGAUCUCUCUUUCUGCCUUCCGUCUUUCUCUUAUUUCUUCUUCCUAUAAAUUUUAUUUUGGUUCUUGCCAAAACCAUCCAGCGUCAUCAGGGAUAGCUCUGUCCGAAUGAGAACGAUUGGAGUAGGUCUUCCCUCAUAUUUUAAUACAAUUUGAGGUUAAAAUUUAGGUAGUGUUUUGCCUUGCAACUUCACUUUUUUAAAAGAUUGGUCGUCCCUAUGUAAUAACAAAGCCUUAUUGGCUUUCGGAGAAGUGUGCCACCGUUUUACCAAAACAAAGAAAAAUAAAGGACAGGAAAGUUUUCUUUUUCUUUUUUAAAAAGGGGAAUAUAAUUAUGAUACAAUAUGUAUGCAGUGAAGAGAAAUUCUUAGAGGCUGAAAAUUUCAACAUCUUGGUUGCAGAAGGCUCAAAGUUUGCGAAUAGGAACUUUUUCUCAA
rnacentral:lncRNA from 1 species